rnacentral:rRNA from 1 species
AUGUUGUACAUUGCCUAUGAGUUGAAUCGAAAUUUGGCGCUUCCUGGCGCCUUCCUUGUGUUAAAAAAAAGCACUGCUUUUGUUGUUACCACUGAUUGCGUCUUCAUCUGUGUUCAUCCCAUGCAUUCCUGCAGAACAUGCCAUUUUAGAAGGAAAGUAUUUCAAGUACCUGAAAGGCUGAAAGUGUUGAAAAGAGAUAUGAUGGCAAUUCUCCCUGAAGAUUUUAUCCCCAUAGAGACAUCAUCUAUUCCUCCCAAAAGCACAACUGUGCAAUAUGAGCUUUAUGACUCUUGGGAAGAUGAAAUACUUUGGAGGAGACGAAAUCAAUAA